ACAUACCGAGUCGGCGUGUUCGCCGCAAACCCUCAUUCUCACUUGCCCGAAAUCUGUCUGCGGUAGCGAUAGUUUUAGAGAGGGAAAGCGUAGAGAGAUUUAGGUAGAGAGAAUAGGCAUGGAUUCGGAUCAGGGAAAGCUAUUCAUCGGUGGGAUUUCAUGGGAGACCACCGAGGAGAAGCUGAAGGACCACUUCGAGAUCUACGGCGAGGUUUUGCAGACCGUCGUGAUGCGAGACAAGCUUAAUGGCCGCCCCAGGGGUUUUGGCUUCGUGGUCUUUGCAGAUCCUUCCAUCCUUGAUAGGGUUCUUCAGGACCAGCACGUUAUAGAUGGUCGAACGGUCGAGGCCAAGAGAGCAUUAUCAAGAGAAGAACAGCAGACUUCUUCCAGGGCUGGAAACAGUAACAAUGCUAGAAACUUUGGUGGUAGUGGAAAUUUUAGAACCAAGAAAAUUUUUGUUGGAGGCUUGCCACCUAGUUUAAGUGAGGAUGGAUUCCGUCAGUAUUUUGAGGCUUACGGUAGUGUAACUGAUGUAGUAAUCAUGUAUGAUCAGCAUACCCAGCGGCCCCGUGGAUUUGGAUUUAUUUCCUUUGAUAGUGAGGAUGCGGUUGAUAGGGUUUUGCAUAAGACAUUUCAUGACUUAAAUGGUAAACAGGUGGAAGUGAAGCGUGCUCUUCCUAAAGAUGCAAAUCCUGGUGCUGGUGGUCGUUCCAUGGGUGGUGGUGUAAGUGGCGGUUCUGGUGGUGGUGGUGGUGGUUAUCAGGGUUAUGGUGCAGCUGGUGGCAAUUCAGGUUCUUAUGAUGGCCGAAUGGAUUCCAACAGGUACAUGCAGUCUCAAAAUACUGGAGGCGGGUAUCCGGCUUAUGGUUCUUCAGGAUAUAAUGCUCCUGGUUAUGGAUAUGCUCCUACCAACAACAGCAUGGGUUAUGGUGGUUAUGGGGGUUAUGGUGGUGCCAAUUCUGGGUAUGGAGGCCCUGCUGGUGUUGCCUAUGGGAACCCAAAUAUGCCCAGUGCUGGCUAUGGAAGUGGUCCACCAGGUGCCCCACGAAGUUCAUGGAGUUCUCAGGCCCCCUCUGCUUAUGGUGCUAUGGGUUAUGGGAAUGCUGCUUCUUGGGGUCCUGCAGGUGGUGGUGGUCAUGGUAGUGGUGGGCCUGGUUCUGCAUCCUCAGGUCAAUCUCCAGGUGGAGCUGCGGGAUAUGGCAACCAGGGUUAUGGUUAUGGUGGAUAUAGUGGAGCUGACGGGUCUUAUUCAAAUCAAGCUGCUUAUGGUGUUGGAGGUCGUGCUGGAAAUGUUCCAAGUAACAAUGCUCCUGUUGGUGGGGGCGCUGGUGGCGGAGAGCUACAAGGCAGUGGCGGGGGCUAUAUGGGAGGUAGCUAUGGUGAUGCCAAUGGUAAUUCAGGGUAUGGAAAUCAAGGAUGGAGGUCUGAUCCAUCCCAAACACCUGGAAGUUAUGGGGCUCAAGGAAAUGGACCUCAUGGUGGGCAAGCUGGGUAUGGUGCUGGAUAUGGUGGGGCCACUCGACAGGCUCAACAGCAGUGAUUUGACGUCUUUAUUCUGUCUGGAACGUGUCUUCUUUGCUCCAAGUACAUUCAAUCACUCCUUUUCCCGUUCAGCAUGCAGGAGCAGUGUCUCUGGUUGGAUGUCAUCCAGGCAAUGGGACUGGAGGGAUGCUCGAGUUCUAGAAGUGGAGCCAACUGUCCACUCAGCUGAACACGAGCUUCAUGAUGGGGGUGAGUUUUAACAUGGAAGGGGACUUGGAAAUUGCUGGUUGGCCUAAUGGAUUUGCCUGAGAUUCUCAUGCGGAACCAGGCCAUGCUGGUGCCAUCAUUUUUGCAGACCAUGACAUUUCAAGUUUGGAAUCUCACAAAUACACCAUUCAAGAGGUUGUGAGCUGGUGGAUUAUUGAAAGCUGAACAACCUGCGGUAUGGUGACUGGUGCAGUUGGGCAAAUUUUCACUUCAAAUUUCAUUCAGACCCUAAUUUUUCUGAGAUCAUUAGUUCUAUAGAGACUUAGCGGUAGGUCAUUGGUUACAGAACUUGACAGUGAUGCCCAUAUUAGUAUUUAAGCCCGCUGACUAAAAUCCUAAUAGGUUGCUGCUUGGUAAAGAAUUUGCCAGAAUAAUGAAUGCAUUUACUAAUUGGUUUUAUUUUAUUUUAUUUUUUGAAGUGCAA